rnacentral:rRNA from 1 species
GGUUAAAAAGCUCGUAGUUGGAUUUCUGUCGAGGGCGAGCGGUCCACCCGAUGGGUGAGUAUCUGUCAGGCCUUGGCAUCCUCUUGGAGAACGUAGCUGUGCUUUGUUGCGUGGCGCGGAAUUCAAGACUUUUACUUUGAGGAAAUUAGAGUGUUCACGGCAAGCAAUCGCUUUGAAUACAUUAGCAUGGAAUAAUAAUAUAGGACCUUGGUACUAUUUUGUUGGUCUCUAGAACUAAGGUAAUGAUUAAUAGGGACAGUUUGGGGGCAUUCGUAUUAACGCGUCAGAGGUGGAAUUCUUGGAUUGCGUUACGACGAACUACUGCGAAAGCAUUUGCCAAGGAUGUUUUCAUUGAUCAAGAACGAAAGUAUGGGGAUCGAAGACGAUUAGAUACCGUCGUAGUCUAUACCAUAAACUAUGCCAACUAGAGAUUGGAGGUCGUAUAAUUCAUGACUCCUUCAGCACCUUAUGAGAAAUCAAAGUUUUUGGGUUCCGGGGGGAGUAUGGUCGCAAGGCUGAAACUUAAAGGAAUUGACGGAAGGGCACCACCAGGAGUGGAGCCUGCGGCUUAAUUUGACUCAACACGGGGAAACUUACCAGGUCCAGACAUAGUAAGGAUUGACAGAUUGAUAGCUCUU